AUUAGUUAUAUCUCCUCACGUGGACCUAAGGUUCUUAAGCUUAUCUAAAUUUUCAUUUGUAAUUAUGUAUUUUUUAUUUUCUUUAUUUUCUUUUCUUUUCUUUUCUUUUCUUUUUCCUUUUUUUUUUUUGGUUGUUUGUGUGGCAAAUUCAAGAAAGUGGGAAGGCUGGGUAGUAGCUAGCACCAAGUGUAUCUCUCUUUUUUCUUUUUGAAAUGAUCUCUCUAUUCUUGGAUGGUGUCUCACUCCGAACAACCAUUGAUGCUUUCAGCUAGUUUAAAUACAUGAACGGUGUGCCUAUCCUUGCCCUUGGAGAAAGAAGGGAUAUACUGAGCUAAUUUUGUAUGAUUUGAAGUUCUGUAGAAGAAACUUUCCUUCAUCUCUUUUGUCCACUUUGAUAAUGCAAAUUUUGCUUGGAGAUAAUUCUUGGGUUAUUUGAAGCCAAUUGGGCUCUGUCUUAGCCGGCCAAUUCAAGCAUAUAUUAUUUGUGGUAGAUGUAAGAAACAGAAUAUGGGCAAUAGCUAUAAAACUUUGACAAAUACUUAAUAAAAAUAUUAUGAAAUAAAGAAGGAGAGUAUUACUUACUGGUUCAAGUAGAGUUACACAAUUGUUGACAAAAGUCCUCCAACUAUAGUAGAGUUGAGUAUUAUAUAUAUAUAUAUUCUCUUUAAGGUAUUUGAACACCCCGUAUAUUAAUAUGCAACCGGAUUGACAGUAAAGUCCCCACCUCCAAAAUAAAACAUUUCUUAAAUUGCUUAAGGUGCACUCCACUAAGCAAUUCCCACAGGUAUGCCCGAAGGUAAUAUUGAAAGAAAAUCAAUGACAGAAUGAAAACAAAGAACAAAAGCACUUGCAAUAAAAUAGUGAACUGAAAACACUCCGGUAGUAUAACAAUACAUAUUUUAGACCGUACCCAAAUACAUAAGUAUUUUUUUGUAAUUUAUAACCAGAAUCAGAGUUCUGUAUACGAAUGGGUACAUCAAUAUAGGUAUCCAUAUGUAUACAAGUGUGAUUCUAUAUAUGUAUAAGGCAACAUAUCUAUAUACUGAUACGUACAAAUGAAUGUACAAACAUAUAUGUACAUAGAUAGUUGAGUUCAUAUAGUUACAUAUAACAAAGGUGCCUAUCGUUACAGUUCUCUGCAUAAAGGGAGCUGCGAACACCAAGACACUGCUCUUCUGGACACAAAGCAAUUUGGGAAGAUUUCGGUGAUUGAUGGAAAGAUGCAGAGUGCUGAAAUUGAUGAGUUCAUCUACCAUGAAUCCUUGAUUCAUCCACCUCUCGUAUGCCAUCCAAAAACCAUCUUCAUAAUGAGAGGUGGCGAAGGUUCUGCCGCAAGAGAAGCAUUAAGGCACAAAAAUGUGGAGAGAGUGGUCAUGUGUGAUAUUGAUCAGGUUUGUGCAGAUGGUCUAACAACAGGUGUAGGCCUUCUUCAACGGCAUAUGUAUGUGGAUUCGUUAUGUCAGCGUUGUGGGAUUGAAGAAGAGACUCCAGCUCAUGUCUCUCUACAUUGUUCUUUUUCAAAGCGGUAUUCUGAAGCUCUCUAUCCCAUAGGGUGGAUUUAAGUGAUAUUUCUUCUAUUCAUUCUUGGAUCAAAGGUUGGGAAGAUUUCAACCACCUUGGAAAGAAACAAAGCAAAGAAUGCCUUGGCUUAUGUUUCUUUCUCAUUUGAUACCUUUAGAGGUCCAGGAACGACCUUAUUUUUUCUCAAAGGAGUUGGACUCCAUCUGAUGUGAUUAGUUGCUCAAAUGGCUCAUGAUGUUAGCAACAGGGUGAUUUAGCCUCGUAUUCCUGUUUCAUCUCCUGAGGUUAGUAGAACAUGGAUAGCCCCUCUGACUUAUUUUUAUAAAAUAAAUACAAAUACGGCUUGGAGGAAAGACGAUCAUCCUAGAUGUAUUGAUUUUAUCAUAAGAAAUCACAUGGGUCAAGCCUGCA